GGGUGAUGGUGAAGUCAUAAAUCUUUCAACUUGCUCUCAUAGAUACAUAUAUAUAUAUGAUUUUGUAUUCAUCAUCAAUGUAAUACCAUCAAAACCACGUAAUUCAUUCCAAGCAAAUUAACACAUCUAUUUAUUACAAAUGUUUUCUGUCACUCACGAUUUCACACAACGAAUUUACUUACUCAAGCUCAAUGUUAAUAUCUAAUUAAAUUCCAAUACUUGGCUUCUAUUUUACUUACCGAUAUUUGCCAAAUUAGAGAACGUCUUACGGAAUU
rnacentral:lncRNA from 1 species